rnacentral:rRNA from 1 species
AACGAACGCUGGCGGCAUGCCUAACACAUGCAAGUCGAACGAUGGUCUUCGGAUCAUAGUGGCGCACGGGUGCGUAACGCGUGGGAAUCUGCCCUUGGGUUCGGAAUAACAGUUGGAAACGACUGCUAAUACCGGAUGAUGUCGAUAAGACCAAAGAUUUAUCGCCCGAGGAUGAGCCCGCGUCGGAUUAGCUAGUUGGUGGGGUAAAGGCCUACCAAGGCGACGAUCCGUAGCUGGUCUGAGAGGAUGAUCAGCCACACUGGGACUGAGAUACGGCCCAGACUCCUACGGGAGGCAGCAGUGGGGAAUAUUGGACAAUGGGCGCAAGCCUGAUCCAGCAAUGCCGCGUGAGUGAUGAAGGCCUUAGGGUUGUAAAGCUCUUUUACCCGGGAAGAUAAUGACUGUACCGGGAGAAUAAGCCCCGGCUAACUCCGUG